AAAAAUACUCUGGAAAAAGUCAAAUUUUUAUAGGGAAUCUUCUGUGAAUACAUCGAUGUAGAUUGAUGGAGGAUUGACAUUGCAGCAAAAUUUGCCUGCUGGAAGGAUUGUAAACUGCCUGAGAGGAGGAACUGUUUCUUGCCGCACUGUAAGAAGAGAACCUGGCAUGUUCCAGCCAUGCAAUAAGAAAGCAAUUAAUAGUGG